GAUGUGGUACACUUGAUCUUCAGCCUACGGUCAUCCCUGACCUACGCUGACACGGAAAUGGAAAGGAGUAGGCGUCGACCUCGCUCUCGCUCAACCGUGCCGCCAUCCGGUUGCAGCAAAGCUCGAGGCCUGCAAGGACUUGCUGCCGACGAUGGUUCACUGACGCGGACCAAGAGUCGUUGUCCAGGCCCUCCACCAGCACGUCGCAGCAACCCCGUCAAUUCUGGUUAUGGUCCACCGAGAGCAAGACCACCACAGUACAAGAAGAUAUACGGGGAUACAUCUUUGCCAGUGGCAGCGGUGGCCUCUUCUUGGUCUUAAUGUUGUAGCAUUUAUCCUCUGUCCAAGUAAGAAGAACAGAUCAAGCUCCACCAUGGUGCUGUCAUUGUGGAGCGUUGAGUACGCAAGCCCUGCCGUGGCACCGUACGAGCCGAGCUUCUUCAACCAGUGGUAGUCGCUAGAGCAGUACAAGGAGGAGAGGAUUGACAUGGCAUUCAUGAAGGGGAGAAAUGGAUGCGGCCCUGAUGCAGUAGCGGUAGUGGAGUAUUAAAGAUGGAGAGGGCCAGGAGGUAGCCAUGGUUUCGACUACUUCAACUUCCCUUGCUGCCAUGUGAUGGAGGCGAGUUCACUGUGUCGCAGCCAUGGCAGCGUCCGCUCUCUUCUAGGACUCCAUGCUCUAGCUUAUUGUGUUCCACGGCCUCCUCACUAGUAGACUUGUAUGCGAGAAGGUCAAUCCGGGCAGUGCAGCAGGCGGUCCGGAGCGAGAUGAUGGUGACGAGGGUGCCAAAACGUUUGGACAUGAGCUGGAUGAGAAGCUUCCCAUGAUCAAGUGCUGUCUCGCAGUUGUGUUGUCCAGUAGCACAAGUGCUGUCCUCGGCGGCGCUUAUGAGAAGUCCAAGAAGAAGGAGCAAUCAAGUCUCUCAUCUGGAGGUAUAUCUUUCAAAGGCUUCCCUUGAGGAAAGAGGGCCGGUAUGGAUGACAUCCUCAAUGACCUUACCUCAUGGCGGCCCUUUUGACAAAGAGGUUAUGGCGGCUCUUCAGGAUGGUGCACUGGAUACUGAUAGUCUGAUGCACAUUGUGAACCACUUGGAAAGGUAUAGGUCUCUUAAUGGAUGAUUUCGUGUCUACCUUUAAUAUUUGUGCUGUGAAAUUUAUCAAAUUGUUUCCUUAUCUGCUGUUGAGGUACAUGCCUGGACUUUGGCCAAGUGGACAAGGGUGGAGUUGCAAGUUACCUUCACUGAUAUAUAUUUUUGUUCUUGGGGCAUUAGCCAAUUGGAGUAGGGCGAGUUUCUAUUUAGUGGGCAUGCAUUCUUUGUGUUGGCUGUUCAUGAAUAUGAAUGAAAUAUAUACAUACACAUCGACUGGACGACCAGAGCAGCAGCUAGACAUGUAUUGAGGACUUGGGAGCAUUUGGUCCCGCUUACAGAAGAACAGAUCAAGCGUAACCAUGGCACUUUCAAUGUGG